AUGCGCUCGGAAAAGGAGGGCGCCGGAGGCUCCGGCGUGGCCGUUGCUGCCCGGAGCCAGAGCGGGAGGGAGAGGACGCCCGCGGUGGAAGUCCAGGUCCGCCGGGAGUCGCCCCGGCGAGAGGCGGGGGCACCGCCGGCCCUGUCCUCCGGGUGUGCGGGCGGCGCGGGCAAACCUCGCGAGGAGAAGAGGGCCGUCCUGAGCAAGGUUGUCAUCCGGCGCCUUCCUCCCAGCCUCACCAAGGAGCAGCUGGAAGAGCAGCUACACCCACUACCUGCACACGAUUACUUUGAAUUCUUUACUGGGGAUCUCAGUUUUUAUCCACAUCUCUACUCAAGAGCAUACAUUAAUUUUAGAAAUCCUGAUGACAUUCUUCUUUUUAGAGAUCGGUUUGAUGGAUAUAUCUUCAUUGACAAUAAAGGGCUAGAAUAUCCCGCAGUGGUAGAGUUUGCUCCAUUCCAGAAGAUAGCCAAAAAGAAGAUAAAGAAAAAAGAUGCCAAAACCGGAAGCAUUGAUGAUGAUCCAGAAUAUAAGAAGUUUUUAGAAACUUACUGUGUGGAGGAAGAGAAAACUAGUACCAAUCCUGAAACUCUGCUGGGAGACAUAGAGGCAAAGACAAGAGAACUUAUUGCUAGAAGAACCACACCUCUUUUGGAAUACAUUAAAAAUAGAAAAUUAGAAAAGCAGAGAAUUCGAGAAGAGAAGAGAGAAGAGCGAAGGAGAAGGGAACUGGAAAAGAAACGCAUACGGGAAGAAGAAAAAAGAAAGAAAAGAGAAGAGGAAAAAUGUAAGAGAAAAGAAACAGACAAACAAAAGAAAGCUGCUGAGAAAGAAGUAAGGAUUAAGCUUCUUAAGAAGCCAGAAAAAGGAGAGGAAACAGCCACUGAGAAGCCAAAAGAACCAGGAGAGGAAAUUGAAAGUAGAGAUGGACAAUGGGAAGCCAGUCCUGGCUGUGCCGUUGUGAAGGCCAAGCCCUGGGAGAGCCUGCUGGAGGAGCGCAGGGAAAAGUCACAAAAUGACAGUGAUAAAGAGCAAAAGGAUAUGGAGAGAAAAUUUCGAGAAAAAGAACUUGAGACACAAAGAUACCACUUGGAUGACAGCAGAAAGCUUAGAGCUCACUAUGAGUUUGACAAGUUUUCAAGAAGAAAUGAAGAAGAGACAAAAUCAGGGAAAGGAUUCACGGCAGACAGAGGGAAGACAGGGAGCCAGGACCGUGGCUUCCCUGUGGAAGCAGCAGAGAGACCAGGGAGAGAACAGAAGAGCGAGGAUGGCCCGGCACCCAGGAAGGAGAGAGUGCGAAACAAGGACCGGCCGGCCUUGCCGCUGUACCAGCCAGGAGCUCGCCUGAGAGCACGUGAAGGUGGUGGAAGAUUCUCUGAGGAGGUCCGCGAUGGGAGGAGGGUUGAGGCAGAAGAUUCAGCAGGGGCUGGUUCCAAGAAGAGCAGAGAGGCAGAAUGAAUCUGCGUGCAUGCCACGGGUGUGACCAGGGUAACCUUGCUGUGGAUUCAGCAAGGUCCAUGUGGUCCAGAGGAGCCCAUCCUGGCUGCAAAGGGCUGGAUAGUAAGUAUUUUCCACUUUGCAGGCUAUAGGGUCUCUGUCACAUCUACUAAACUGCCGUUGUAGUGAGAAAGCAACCUUAGACAACACAUAAAUGAAUGGGCAUGGUUGUGUUCCAAUAAAACUUUAUUUAUAAAAACAGGCAGAAGGCCCUAUUUAACCUGUGGACCAUAGUUUGCUGAUCCCUGCUUAGAGGAUGGAUCAGACUGGAUCUCCUGAACAGUGAGUGGCUGUGGUCCUUGCUGCUCAUUUUGGCUUUGAUCUGGAGAGUUCUAGGCUUGAGAGUCCAGGACAUAGUAAAUCUUUUUUCUAAGGCCUCCAUUUUGGUUCUGUUGGCUUGUUGGAUUGUUUGUAUUUGGUGAUCAAAGACCUGGAGGUCUUUAGUGCUCAUUUUCAAAAUUUUCAGUUUAGAACAGUGGUUCUCAUCCUUUUUGGUCUUAGGAACUAUUUACAUUUUUAAAUAUGAUUGGCAACCCCAGAACUUUUGUUUAAACACAUGUUCCAUUUACUGUCAUAGUAAUAACAUCACUGCACAUUGUGUAGCCUCUGGAAAACUCCACUGUACACUCAGGAGAAGAUCAGAGUGAAAAGGACCAGGGGGUUGAUCUGGCUGAAUCCCUCUGAGGCUGGCCAAAGCUGCUUGGAGGACCCUCUAAUGACCUACUCAUGAACUUUUCUCAUAAUACAUCUCCUGCCAGCAGUAGAGAUUUUCCACCAUUUCUGAACAUGUGAUGUAUGUAUAGCCAUGUUUUCUAACUGCACAUGUGCAGCAAUGUCCCUACCUAUGCAUGCCAUAACAAAAUUCACCUUGAUGUUUAUGCAUGAUAUCCCUGAAUAAAGACGAAUCCAACCCUU